ACGCACGCUGGCGGCGUGCUUAACACAUGCAAGUCGAACGGAAAGGCCCUGCUUUUGUGGGGUGCUCGAGUGGCGAACGGGUGAGUAACACGUGAGUAACCUGCCCUUGACUUUGGGAUAACUUCAGGAAACUGGGGCUAAUACCGGAUAGGAGCUCCUGCUGCAUGGUGGGGGUUGGAAAGUUUCGGUGGUUGGGGAUGGACUCGCGGCUUAUCAGCUUGUUGGUGGGGUAGUGGCUUACCAAGGCUUUGACGGGUAGCCGGCCUGAGAGGGUGACCGGCCACAUUGGGACUGAGAUACGGCCCAGACUCCUACGGGAGGCAGCAGUGGGGAAUAUUGCACAAUGGGCGGAAGCCUGAUGCAGCAACGCCGCGUGCGGGAUGACGGCCUUCGGGUUGUAAACCGCUUUCGCCUGUGACGAAGCGUGAGUGACGGUAAUGGGUAAAGAAGCACCGGCUAACUACGUG
rnacentral:rRNA from 1 species